rnacentral:rRNA from 1 species
UACGAAGGGGGCUAGCGUUGCUCGGAAUUACUGGGCGUAAAGCGCACGUAGGCGGUCUUUUAAGUCGGGGGUGAAAUCCUGGAGCUCAACUCCAGAACUGCCUUCGAUACUGGAAGACUUGAGUCCGGGAGAGGUGGAGUGGAACUGGCGAGUGUAGAGGUGAAAAUUCGUAGAUAUUCGCAAGAACACCAGUGGCGAAGGCGGCUCACUGGCCCGAUACUGACGCUGAGGCACGAAAGCGUGGGGAACAAACAGGAGUUAAGAAUGAUCCC